rnacentral:hammerhead_ribozyme from 1 species
AUUUAGCUGACGCGUGCCAAAUAGGAUAAAACACGUGUCCUGUAU